UGGGGAAUAUUGCACAAUGGGGGAAACCCUGAUGCAGCCAUGCCGCGUGUGUGAAGAAGGCCUUCGGGUUGUAAAGCACUUUCAGUUGUGAGGAAAGUUUAGUAGUUAAUACCUGCUAGAUGUGACGUUAGCAACAGAAGAAGCACCGGCUAACUCCGUGCCAGCAGCCGCGGUAAUACGGAGGGUGCGAGCGUUAAUCGGAAUUACUGGGCGUAAAGCGCACGCAGGCGGUCUGUUAAGCUAGAUGUGAAAGCCCCGCGCUCAACGUGGGAGGGUCAUUUAGAACUGGCAGACUAGAGUCUUGGAGAGGGGAGUGGAAUUCCAGGUGUAGCGGUGAAAUGCGUAGAGAUCUGGAGGAACAUCAAUGGCGAAGGCAACUCCCUGGCCAAAGACUGACGCUCAUGUGCGAAAGUGUGGGUAGCGAACAGGAUUAGAUACCCUGGUAGUCCACACCGUAAACGCUGUCUACUAGCUGUUUGUGAAUUUAAUUCGUGAGUAGCGAAGCUAAC
rnacentral:rRNA from 1 species